CUAUUGGAUGCCUCUGAGCAGUCUGCUCUCUUCAGAAAGGAUGUUGGUUUUUGCAUGCUACAGAGGAUUGCUUUGUCAGAUUUGGCACACGUCCACCUGGCUCUUUUCAGCAUGUCAAGAGAAAUUCACAAGCUCCCAGGUUCCCUAAAUACAUCCUUGGUCCAUCUUAAACCACUGGUAUACUUGGAGUUCCUUCACAUAAAUUCUACAGCAGCCUCAGAAAUUCUGAUUAUCAUGCAUCACCACUGCACACACCUAGAAGCACAGACCUGCAAGUCGUGACUCUUCCUGAGUAUUUCAUGGAG